CCUACGGGCGGCAGCAGUGGGGAAUAUUGCACAAUGGGGGAAACCCUGAUGCAGCAAAGCCGCGUGAGUGAAGAAGUAUUUCGGUACGUAAAGCUCUAUCAGCAGGGAAGAAAAUGACGGUACCUGACUAAGAAGCCCCGGCUAACUACGUGCCAGCAGCCGCGGUAAUACGUAGGGGGCAAGCGUUAUCCGGAUUUACUGGGUGUAAAGGGAGCGUAGACGGCAGCGCAAGUCUGGAGUGAAAUCCCAUGGCUUAACCAUGGAACUGCUUUGGAAACUGUGCAGCUAGAGUGCAGGAGAGGUAAGCGGAAUUCCUAGUGUAGCGGUGAAAUGCGUAGAUAUUAGGAGGAACACCAGUGGCGAAGGCGGCUUACUGGACUGUAACUGACGUUGAGGCUCGAAAGCGUGGGGAGCAAACAGGAUUAGAUACCCUUGUAGUC
rnacentral:rRNA from 1 species